ensembl:Y_RNA Y_RNA Y RNA
GGCUGGUCCUAUGGUAGUGGGUAAUCAGAACUUAUUAACAUUAGUGUCACUAAAGCUGGUAUACAACCCCCCACUGCUAAAUUUGACUGGUUUUAA